AGAAGGUGGCGGGGCUUCUGGAGGAAAAGAAGCUUCGAUUUGCAGGUCUUGGAAGACGGAAGGGCAACUCUUGUUUACGUUUAAAACCGAGAGGCGGCCCUAGGGGUAGCGCCAGUUAGCAGGCGCUGAAAGGCCCUGGCUUCGUGGGUGUCUCUGAGCCAGGCUGGCGCUCGUGCGCGCUGGGCUCCGCGCUCAGUCGCUGGGGUGGGAGGCCAGGGGAAGCCGCCGCUGCAGGCCGAGCCGCGAGAUUUGCAGUGCAGGAGCCGAAGCGGCGGGCAUGGUGGGAGGUCCUUGGAAGCUGCUGCGGGGAACUGAAACGGCUCUGAUAGGCAGGCACAAAGACUUCUCUAGGACCCCCUACAAUGCUUUACGUUUGCCUCGUGCUUUAGAUUUCACAAAGUGCUUACACAUAACACGACCCUCCUCACUCGACCUGGUGAGAUGGGUAGCAUUUUGUGGAAGAUUCCGAGACUCAAGUUUGAGAGACUCACCCAAGGUCAGAGUUGGCGAGUGGGCGGUCCGUGGACAGGUGCGCAGGUCUCAGCGCCAUUUGGCCCGCGCUGCUGCUUCCUGUGUGUACUGGAUGUUCUCUAGGCUCGCCCAGCGUGGAAGCCCCGAGUUACCAGCCGCAACGUGGAAACCACAGAAGGGGAAAUAGAUGACUUUUGUGUCGUGCUUUGUCACCCAGACUGGAGUACGGUGGUGUAAUCAUAGCUCACUCUAGCCUCAACCUUUCAAGCUCAAGCAAUCCUCCCACCUCAGCCUCUGGAGUAGCUGGGACCACAGGUUUGUGCCACCACACCUAACUAAUUUUUUGAUUUUUUUUUUUUUUUUUUUUUUUUUUGUAGAGAGGAGGUCUUGCUGUGUUUCCCAGGCUGGUCUCAAACUACUAGGCCCAAGCAGUCUUCCUGCCUCAGCCUCCCAAAGUGCUGAAAUUACAGGUGUGAGCCAACACACCCAGGAACAAGUCCAACCCCACAAAAGUGGAGCUUAAUUCCUAGGAAAAUGAAAGAAUUAUACUUUCUGUGGUCAGCAUUGUGCUGGCUGGCAUACAUUAAACAUGUCAGACCUCCAUAAGAUACCAGUGGUGAGAGGAUGAGCUAGAACAUUCACCUUUUGACAUCUCGGUCACUACCUUAUUGUUUUAAAAUAAUCAGCAAUUCCAAGUUUCAAGUGAUUUGUAAAAUUCUAGCGGCUAUGCUUUAUUGAUUAUUUUUUAAAUUAAAUUGUUCAAAUUUAUGUUUCAAAUGAGCAGAUCAUUCUAAGAAUCAUAUUUACUUUUCUGAACUUCUGGUGUUUUUGCUUGUUGCUUUGGGAUAGGAUGGGAAGGAGUAAUUUUAAUUGGCAGAUAAAAGAUUGUUCCCUAUUAGGCACAUUCUGAGAGGGAAAGUCAUAUUCUAACUUUUCCUGAGGUGUGUUCUGAGAUAGUACUUUUAUAUGCAUUGUCACAUUUAAUUGUCACAACUAGCCUAGGGAUGGGAUUUUUUAUCCCCAUUUUUAAGAUGAAGAUACUAAAGUUUAGAGCAGUUAAGGAGGUGGCCCCAAGGCCAACUUACCUUACAGAGCUGCUCCUAAAACUUUGGAACCGGAUAGUCCCCAUGGAUUAAUUUUGACCUGGCUCAAAGUCACAAAGCUGACAGCAGCCAAUCAGGGACUAAAGGCCAUUUUUCAGAACUUUCAAUCCAGUUCUUGCCACUAUAGUAUUUUUUCUUCUUCUUCUUCUUCUUUUUUUUUUUGAGACGGAGUCUCGCUCUGUCGCCCAGGCUGGAGUGCAGUGGCGUGAUCUCGGCUCACUGCAACCUCCACUUCCCAGGUUUAAGCAAUUCUCCUGCCUCAGCCUCCCAAGUAGCUGGGAUUACAGGCACCCACCACCACGCCCAGCAAUUUUGUGUAUUUUUAGUAGAGAUGGGGUUUCGCCAUGUUGGCCAGGCUGGUCUCGAACUCCUGAGACCUCAGGUGAUCCACCUGCCUCGGCCUCCCAAAGUGCUGGGAUUACAGGCCUGAGCCACUGCGCCCAGCCUAUAGUAUUUUUAUAAAGCAUAAAUUAUUCAGCAAUGCAUUCAGAUAUUUAACCCACACAUCGGUAAGUGUUUAGGUAUUUGCUGUGGUGUAGAGACAUGGCUCAACAAAUCCAAGACAAAAACCAAAAACCCAAGUCCUGCCAUUUUAUAAAUGACCACUAGGUAGCAGCCUAGUAACAUAAAAACCAAACUGAGGCCCACCCUCCUCUGUUUCAUUCUUUUUGUUUGAAGAUAUAUAAUGGUAAUUCAAUUUCAUUUCAUUUCAUUUUGUGCCUUUCAAACAUAUGACUGUUUUCAACUUGUCCUUUGACAUAGGCUCGAUCAGGAUGAUACUAUAGUGAGAACAAAUGUGGUUAUAAUUUGUAAAGCCAAGAGACUUUACAAAUUAUUUUGUUAUACCAAUAUUUUUUCAGUACUAGAUUCCAAAUUUCACUGUUCUUAAAAUAUUAUUCCAAAAGUGGUUCAAUGCAGGCUCUUUAUCUUCUUCUUUUUUUUUUUUUUUUUUUUUGGUAAAUGUACAGGUAUUUUUUUCAGUUGGAGUCUUGUCUGUUACCCAGGCUGGAGUGGAGUGCAAUGGUAGGAUCUUGGCUCACUGCAACCUCCGCCUCCUGGGUUCAAGUGAUUCUCCUGCCUCAGCCUCCUGAGUAGCUGGGAUUAUAGGCUUGUGCCACCACGCUCAGCUAAUUUUUGUAUUUUUAGUAGAGAUGGGGUUUCACCAUGUUGUCCAGGCUGGUCUUGAACUCCUGAACUCAGGUGAUCCACUCGCCUCGACCCCCCAAAGUGCUGGGAUUACAGGCUUGAGCCAUCGCGCCCGGCCACAAUUCUUUUUUUUUUUUUUUUGAGACAGAGUCUCACUCUGUUGCCAGGCUGGAGUACAGUGGCAUGAUCUUGGCUCACUGUAACCUCUGCCUCCUGGGUUCAAGUGACUCUCCUGCCUCAGCCUCCCGAGUAGCUGGGAUUACAGGUGCCCGCCACCACGCCUGGCCAAUUUUUGUAUUUUUAGUAGAGAUGGGGUUUCACCCUGUUGGCCAGGCUGGUCUCGAACUCCUGAACUCAGGUGAUCCACCCGCCUCGGCCUCCCAAAGUGCUGGGAUUACAGGCAUGAGCCAUCACACCUGGCCCACAAUUCAUUGUUUAAGUAAAUUUAUAAAGUUGUGCCAUCACCACCAGAAUCCAGUUUUAAAACAUUUCUAUCACUCAAAAACUUUCCUCAAAGCUGUGUGCAGUCAAUCCCAACUGCCACCCCCAGCUAGUCCCAAGGCAACCUCUGAUAUGCUUUCUGUCUUUAUAAGUUUGCCUUUUCUGGACAUUUCAUAUAAUGGAGUCAUGUAAUAUGUAGUCUCUUGCCUCUGUCUUCUUUCACUUACAUAAUGCUUGUGAGGUUUACCCAUGUUGCACAUGUAUCAGUAUUUCACUCCUUUUUAUUGCUGAGUAAUAUUCCAUUGUGUUCAUUCACCAGUUGGUGGACAUUUGGAUCAUUUUCCCUUUGGAAUUAUUAGGAAUAAUAUUGCUAUGAACAUUAAUGUUAAAGUCUGUUUUAUUGUUUUUGUUUUUGUUUUUUUGUUUUUUGUUGUUGUUGUUUUUGAGAUGGAGUCUUGCUCUGUCACCCAAGCUGGAGUGCAGUGGCAUGAUCUUGGCUCACUGCAACCUCCAGCUCCCAGGUUCAAGCAAUUCUCCUGCCUCAGCCUCCCGAGUAGCUGGGAUUAUAGGCUCGAGCCACCACGUAAGCUAAUUUUUAUAUUUUUAGUAGGGACAGGGUUUCACCAUGUUGGCCAAGCUGGUCUCAAACUCCUGACCUCAGGUAAUCUAUCUGCCUCAGCCUCCCUAAGUACUGGGAUUACAGGCAUGAGCCACCGCACCCGGCCUAACGUUAAAGUCUUUAUAUGAACAUUUGUUCUCAUUUCUCUUGGGCAGAUAAACCUGUGAGUGGAAUUGCUAGUUCAUAUGGUUAGUUUGUUUAACUUUUUAAGAAAUUGCCAAACCACUUUCCAAAGUGGCUAUACCAUUUUAUAUUUCCACCAGCAACGUAUGAGGGUUCCCAGUUCUUCAUGUCCUCAACAAUGCUUGUUAUUGCGUGCCUUUUUUAGUAGGUAUGAAGUGGUAUCUGACUUUUGUUUGAAUUUUGAUUUUUCUAUUGAUGUGGCACUCUUUUUCGUGUGCUUUUUAGCCAUCAUCUUCCUCUUUUUAAAUGGUCUUGAAAGUCUUUUUCCUUUAACGUUUGUAUGGAACUUAAACCUAAGUUAAAAUGACAUUAAUUGUUAUUAAUACAAAGACAUAAAAAGACAUAGUAAUCAUUUGUAUAAUGUUAAGUAACAAACAUUAUACAAUGUACUAUGUACUAUGAGUAUAGUCAUGUCAAUUUGUUUUUUUUUUUUUUUUUGGAGACAGGGUCUCACUCAGCCCCUCAGGCUGGAAGUGGUGCAGUCUCAGCUCACUGCAGCCUUGUUCUCCCAGGCUCCAGUGAUCUUCCCAUUCCAGCCUCCCGAGUAACUGGGACUACCAGAGCACACCACCACAGCUGGCUAAUUUUUGUAUUUUUUGUAGAGACAGGGUUUCACCAUGUUGCCCAGGCUGGUCUCAAACUCCUGAGCUCAAGCAGUCUGCCGCGUUGGCCUCCCAAAGGGCUGGGAUCAUGUGUACACCAUCACACCUGGCAUCAAAACUAUUAACUUUCAAGACUAUAUGCUGUAUGAUUCCAUUUAUAUACCUCUGGGAGGUUGGGUUGGGAGAUUGGUGCAGUUUUUAUUUUCUACAACUAGCAUGUAUUGCUCUGUUACGAUUUUUAAAAUCCAAUAAAGAUAUUGAAAGCAGUCACAUAGAAAACAAUAACAAAGAGGAUGUACCAAAAUAAUAAUAACAAUGCUUAUUUAAGAUGGUAGGAUUAUUGGUGUUUUUUUCUUUUUUUCUCCCAUUGUUUUAUAUGGCAUAUAAUGUUAUUAUACUGUCAGCAGUAGAGCAGUCAUAGGCCCCACGUCUCUGUACCUUCAUCAGAACACCUCUUAAACUUGCCUAGUUCUCAUCUUAGCUAUUCAAUCCUAACUUUCCUCUAAUUAAUCCUUUCUUUCUUAUUCAUGUCCUCCUACCCAUUUUUUUGGUAUCUAAUUCAAGUUUUAUACCAAGCUGUUUUUUCCCUCUUCCCCCUAACCCUAUACCAGUUAUUCUGCUUAAUUCUAACCUUCUCCUCAACCCUCACUGCUCAUUUGUUCCCUAAAACCUUCGCUGCUUUACACAUUCAAGAUAACCUAGAACCUGAAGACCUCCAGUGGCUAUGUACUUGUUUUCUGGUGGCCAUCCUGAGUUGUAUUUCUUUUUUUUUUCCUUGUUUUUUGAGACAGAGUCUCACUCUGUCGCCCAGGCUGGAGUGCAGUGACAUGAUCUCGGUUCACUACAAUCUUCGCCUCCCGGGCUCAAGCAGUUCUCCUGCCUCAGCCUCCCGAGUAGCUGAGAUUACAGGCGCAUGCCACUAUGCCCAGCUAAUUUUUGUAUUUUUAGUAGAGACGGGGCUUCAACAUGUUAGCUAGGUUGGUCUCGAACUCCUGGCCUCAAGUGAUUGCCCACCUUGGCCUCCCAGCGUGUUGGGACUACAGGCGUGAGCCACUGCACCCGGCCUCUUGUUUGUUUUGUUUUCUGUUUUCUUUUUGUUUCUGAGUUGCAUUUUUUCUGGAAAGCAACAAAUGGCACUAAGGUGGAUUCCAGGUUCUCAAGCUGAGCGUAAACAAUACUACCCAAUGCUCUGAAGACUUUUGCCAUGAAGUUUUUAAGCCUCCUUGGAUGCUGGGAUCUUAGUAGCUGAGAAAACUCUGGCAGAGUUCUUCCUGGUUCUCCCUCCUUUUCCUUUCUGAGUUAACCUGGGAGCCAGAGCAGAGCAGCCUCUGGUUUUUGCUGCUAUUUUUUAGUACUAAAAUGGCCUUAAAGAACUCAUCAACCUUUUAAAACAUGAGUCAGGUUCUGUUACUUUGCCUAUAACUCUUCAGUGACUUUCUGUUAAACUUAGAGAAAAAGGUUAAGUCAUCCUUUUGGUUCCUACGGGCGCUGCACGGUUUGGCCCUUCCUGCUUUCACUCUCACAGACAGCCACGCCACUCCUCACCCAUUAUAUUGCAGCCGCCCUAACCUGUUUUCUGUUCCUCAGUGUGCCAAGCUUUGUAUUACCCUAAGGCCUGCAUUCAUAUUGUGCUUUCUGCCUGGAAUGCUUUCCUCAGUUCUUUAAAAACUUAGCCCUUCAUCCUGUAGGUCUCAGCAAGCACCAUCUCAGUGAGACUUGCCCUGACUACUUUAUCUACAAAGGUUCUUCCUUGUUCUCUCUCAGUAUCCGGUUUGCUUUCCACAUAACAUUUAUUUCAGAGUUGUCUGUUGACUUGUUUAUCGUCUGUCUUCUCCAUGGACUAUAUGUGUAAUUGCCAAGAAAGCAGGGACUUAUUUCUGUUUGGCUCACUAAUCACUGUAUACACAGCAUGUAAACAUUCCAUAAGUAUCUGUUAAAUGGAAUGGAUGAAAUCAUAGGGUAGAAGGAACCCUAAAGCCACCUAAUGCAUCCUCCCAAAUCCCUUCCACAGCAUCCCUAAUGGAUUCAGCAUAGAAACUUCUGGUUAUAGCAAGUUCUGUUUGGGUGUGUCGAAAUGUUAGUUAAUUCUAAUGCAUAUUGAGCAGAAAUCUUUCUGUCUGAAACUUCCACUUUCUUGUCAUGUGGAAUUAAACAAAAUACACCUGAUCCAUUUUUACAUCACUUUAAAAUAUAUGAAUAUGACUAUUUCAUCCUCUCUGCACUUCACAUGCAUUCUCUUUGCCCAGAGAAACUUGUCCAACUGCAUCAAUUACUUUUCUCCCUCCGACACCCCCUCACCAGUAUUUUGCUUUUUCUUUUUUGAGACAGAGUCUCACUCUUUUGCCCAGGCUGGAGUGCAGUGGCACGAUCUCAGCUCACUGCAACCUCUGCCUCCUGGGUUCAAGCGAUUCUCCUGCCUCAGCCUCCCGAGUAGCUGGAAUUACAGGCACAUGCCACCACACCUGGCUAAUUUUUGUAUUUUUAGUAGAGAUGGGGUUUCGCCAGUAUUUUUUGAUGAAUGUAUGCUUAAUUUGAGGCAUCCCAAAGAAAAUUCAAUAUGAAAAAUGCCGUGGGAUAAUUAUCUCCUUUAUUUUGGAUAUGACCAUUUUAUAUAUGAAAUGGAAAACUCUAAAUCUUUUUCUCUGUUUUUUCAAUAAGUAUGUUAUGCUAAUAAUAUAUAUCAAGUGUGCAAUCAACCAAAACACUGUUUUCAUUUUUCAUGCGUGAGCUCAUCUCCCCUAUCUGGUGCAUCUAAUUGCCUAAACUUAACUAUGGAUUCUAUAUUUCAUGUUAAUUUUGAUUCAUUAUUCUAGGUUAUCCAGAUCUCUUUGAAUCUUGUUCCUGUCAACUGACUUAUUAGUGCCAUCUCCUAAUUCUGUGUCAACUUGACAAGCCUGCUGUCUUUCCCUUCAUCCAAGUUGCCAAUAAAAAUGCUCAACAAGGCAGAGUGCUUUAGCAAGACCUGGAGAGAUCUCCUACAGGUAAACACGUUGCCAUGGUCUUUACACCUUGGGUAUGAUCAUUCACCCAAGCAUGGAGUCACAUAGUGUCCACGUUGUUCCUCUUGUUCAAAGGCCUUGCUGCAGUUCAUGCAUGCGGAAUCUAUAGCUGUCCCAUGACUUACCAGCCUAGCAGAAAGCAGCACAUCAGAAAAGGAAGUGAGUUUAACUUGGCAUGUCAUUUUCUUUCUUUCUUUUCUUUUUUUUUUUUGAGACAGAAUCUCGCUCUGUCACCCAGGCUGGAGUGCAAUGGCACCAUCUCGGCUCACUGCAACCUCUGCCUCCUGGGUUCAAGCGAUUCUCCCGCCUCAGCCUCCUGAGUAGCUGGGAUUACAAGCGUGCGUCACCACUCCCGGUCAAUUUUUGUAUUUUUAGUAGAGAUGGGGUUUCACUGUGUUGGCCAGGCUGGUCUCGAACUCCUGACCUCAGGUGAUUCGCCCGCCUCGGCCUCCCAAAGUGCUGGGAUUACAGGCGUGAGCCACCGCGCCUAGCAUGGCAUGGCAUUUUCUUGGUGAGCAGCACAGGAAGCAGCCCAGAGGCCUCAGUGGGGUGGCUCUUCAGAACAGAGGCCCUCGCCUCACACUAGGCUAGUGAUUCAGUCACACCACCAUCUCCUACGUCAAUUUGUCUCACAACACUGUCAUGUCUCACUUCUUAUAGAAUCUGUCGCCUCCUUUCUCUCCCUCUUGGUGCUCUCUCAAGGUUUACAUGCAUUUGGAUGAAAGCUAGGAAGGUUCUAAGUUGUAAGUGAGGGAUUUGCUGCGUCUCUCAAGGAGAAGAGGAAGUUACCUCUUUUGAUGAAGAUCCAAGGCAUCCUCCACUGUCACGUGGUGCAGAAGCAGACAUCCCCUUCAAAAGAUCUAGCUCUUCCCAGCUCUUCUGUUCCUCUUUAGUACUUUCUCACCCUCCCUUGCAGACUGAACUUCCACCUAACUCUAAGCGGAAGCCCACACACCUGUUUCCACACACAGUAAGACAGGACUUCUCCUGUCUGCUGUACCACAGAGACAGGCCUUGCCUCAGUGUGGUGGGGCUUGCUGCCUCCCCUGGUGUCUGAAGGGUUUCUUCCUGCAAGCACUCAGCCUUCUUCCUUCUCUGGGUCAGCAGUUUCUUCGGGAGCUGCAAGCACUGCUGGCACGGUGGAUCCGAGAGACCCACUUGAGCCUCAGAGCAGAGCUGGAUGGGGCAGAAGCUGGUCAAUUCUUUUUUCUCUGUAGUUUGUUGGCUUUUAUUUCUGCCUUCUCACUCUUAUGUGCUAAUUGUCACUGUUUCUUCUCUCUGUUUCUCUUCUUCUCCUGCUUUCCCCACUAUCCUCCCUGCUCGACCCUCCACAUUUCUCCUUGAGUUCAGGGCAGACAGAAACAGCAUUAAUGAUCAGCUGCAGAGGAGGAGGUGUCAAGGGUUUCUGUAUUCCCACCCAGAGCUCUGCAUGCAUGUUUAAGCAAUCCCUUUCCAUCUUUACACUCUUUCAUGAUGACACUGUUUCUGACACUUCAGUGAUCACCUAUUUCUGAUGGAAGAGCUGGAGCAUUGCUAAGUGGCAGGUGGGGAAAUUCUACUCAGUUCACUUGACUGGUUUUGCUCUUAAGUUGUAAUCCUACCCAAGUGUACACAUGCACAGUAAAAAAUACCAAACCUGUAGCACUCAGAUAACUUACUCCAUCUGAACUAUGUUAACAGACAUGAAGAGUGCACACCUUGGAUAGGUACAGGACAAGCCACAGUCCAGUUCAUUAAUUAUGCUGUCAAUUUGGCUAUAGUCUGAAUGAUGUUUCCCAUAAUUCACAUAUUGAAGUCCCAGCCCCCAGUGUGUUGGUAUUUGAAGAUGGGGCCUUUGGGAGAUAAUUAGGUUUAGAUGAGGUCAUGAGGAUGGGUCAUGAUGGUAUUAGUGCCCUUCUAAGAAGAGACCAGAGAGUUUGCCUUCUUUGUCAUGCCAUGUGACUACACAGUGAGAAGGUGGCUUGUCUACAAGCCAGAAAGAGAGUCCUCACCAAAAUCCACAUCAUCUGGCACUUUGACUGGGACUUCCAGCCUACAGAACUGUGAGAAAAUGAGUAUCUGUUAUUUCAGCCACCCCAUCGGUGGUAUUUUGUUAUGGCAGCCCAAGCAGACUAAUACAGAUUCCAAACUAAUUAUUUGCUAUCUGCCAUAAUAGUUGUUUUCCAAAUGUGCCAUUUGCACUCAAAUCUACAUGUAAAUUGAAACAGGUAAUUAAUAUAGGUACAAUGUACCUCAGAAUAGGAGUCUCUGGUGAUGCCAUUUCUCAUUAAUUCCCAUAUAUUACAUAUCUUUACUUGGAACUCUUGGGUUAAACUACCCUGGCUUUGCAUUUAACUGUAAAGCACUCAGAUAAUUCUAUCCACAUGCUCCUCUGUUCACACUGCCUUGAUAUCCUGACUUCUGAAACUUUAUACUUACCUAUCCCUUAAAUUAUCCUUUUGAGCUAAGAACCCAAGCAAUGAUCCUAUUUCGUGGCAAAACCCAUGCUUGCAUUCUAUUUCCACAUCCUGUUCUACUAGUGUGCUAAGAAUUAAGAAGUAAAAUGCAAGUAUCUCGUUUCCUUUUCAGGAAUGGCUAGCUUGUUAAGAAUGAUGAUGACACCUAACAUUUAUGAGUUCUGACUCCCUCACAUGUAUAUCUCAUUUAAUCCUCACAAUCAACUCUGUGAAGUAAUGGGUAUUAUCCCCAUUUUAUGGAUGAGGAAAUUGAGGCAAAGCAAGAUUAACCAGCAAAGAUCACACAGCUAGUGGGUGACAUCGUCAGAGCUUGAACCCAGGCAGUCUGAAUCCAGAGCACACAUUCCUGAGUAUUAAUUUUUUGGAUGUAUUCAUUGGGCACACCAUCUAAAAGAAGCAAAAAAAUCUAAGUAGAGGAAUGUAAGAGAUAGUAGUUAGUGGCUUCAAUUUCAUCUCAUCGAUAGAUGAGGGCUCAUAUAUUUACUGUUUCUUUUGUAUGGAAAGACUACUAUUAAAUACGGAGUUGCCAUUGAGCCUUCUGUUGCCAGGUGGAAAAUCUACUGGUUUACUGCAUUUGAAUGAUCCACAUUUAAUCCUAACUGAAUGCCUUUCCUCAAUCAAUAAAAGAAUUUCAAGGGAAAUAUUUGGACACCUGUGUGUGUUAGGAGCUGAUGUUGGGCUGAGCCAGUAACCUUUAUUUGAUAUUGAAGCUAAGCCCAGCCACUUUAGACUCCUGUAACACCACUCAAUGUUUUGCUUCAAUGUUUUUUGUUUGUUUGUUUUCCACACAGCAGCCCCAUUUGUCAAUUUUAGGGCUAGAAGGUAUUUGGCCCGUGCUUAGAGAAUACGGGCCCUUCUGCCAUCAGCACCCGUUUAUUGGGCUGGUCACAUCUUGGGCAUUAAGAACAGAAGAACCCUCAAUUUCCUGCUGCCAGCAGAGUGGUACAAAUAGCUGCUGUCAGACAGACCAUUAAACAAUACAAAGAUUCCCUAAAGACAGACUUAAGAACUUGUAGCAUCUGCCUUCAGUCAGGGGAGACCAUAACAAAACAUGCUCUUAUAUGUCUAUUUGAACAGCAUCAGAAGGCAGCACAGAGUGGCCAUUCAAUCAACAUGUGUUGGGCUGAAUGGAAAUCUGUCAGAACGAGGGCAAAGAGUGCAAAGGGGUCCCUGCUCCUGAAGUCCAAAUUUAUCUCCCCCUUUCAGAACAUGCUAGCACUUAGAGAUCUGUGACAACACAAGCACAUAUUAUCGUUUUCUGUCCCAGUGGUCCUCUCAUGACCUUGUGUGUACAGAUCUUUGCCCAUAAUGAAACGGUAGAAUCUUUAUGACUUGAGGAGGCUACUGUGAUAGAAAGACCAUUGCUUCUGGAAUCAAAGCAUCUGGGCUUAAUGAUCAUGAUCUUUAAUGCCACUUAAUGAUCAUGAUAUUUAACUGCUUUUUCCUGAUUUAUGGUUAUGAUGGCUGACUUUAUGUGUCAAUUUGACUGGGCUAGGGAAUGCCCAGAUAGCUGGUAAAAUAUUAUUUUUGGAUAUAUCAGUGAGGAUACCUCACUGAUGUGGAGACGACAUCCUCCAGUUUGUUGAGGGCCUAAAUAGAACAAAAAGAUAGAGAAAGGGCAAAUUCUCUCUUUGUUCUUGUUCUGGGACAUCCAUCUUCUUUCUGCUGCCUUUGGAGCUCUUUGCUCUUGGACCUUCAGGCUCCAGGACUUACAUCCCCUCCCCACUCAGUUCUCAGACUUUCUGCCUCAGACUGGGAGUUACAUCAUCAGCUCGCCUGGUUCUCAGGCCUUCAGACAGACUGAAUUACACCACCAGCUGUCUUGGUUCUCCAGCAUGCAGAUGGCAUAUCGUGGGGCUUCUUGGCCUCCAUAAUUGUGUGAGACAAUUCCCAGAAUAAAUCUCCUCUUAUAUAUCUAUACAUAGCCUAACAAUAUUCUAUUGUUUCUGUUUCUCUGGAGAACCCUGAUGAAUACAAUGGUUUAAUCUUGGCUUCUUGACAAUAUUGUUGUAAGGAUUCAAUCCUUGUAACAUGUGAUGGCAGCUCAAUAAAGUAAACCUUAACUCCUUUAUCCUUUCUUUGUUGAAGGAAGAAACAAUGUCAGUCAUUUCUGCCUGCCUACCUCCUAACAUAUGUUUUGGCACAUACUAAGUACCAGAAAAAUGCUUGUUGAAUACAUAAAUCUUACAAUUUCCCAUCUAUAUUAAAAUUCCUCAUUCUAUAUUGGUCAUCUGUUUGGUUCUCAACUACUUUUUGAAAGAAAAAUGCUUUACAAAAAACCCUCAGGUUUAAAUUAUUUACAUAAAGUUAUGUAUUAUUAUUAACAAGUUAUAUGUUAUUAAGUUAUGUGCAUACAAAAAAUGCUCAAAUCUUAAAGACAGCUCAAUGAAUUUUUACAUAUGUAUACACCCAUGAAACCACAACCUAGGUCAAAAAAACAACAUUUCAAUUACCCCAGAAGGUUCCUUCAUGCUACUUCUCAGCUAAUACUUCCUCUGCCAGUGAAAUCCUUAUUCUGACUUCUGUCACCAUAGAUUAGUUUUGCUGGUUCUUGAAUUUUGUACCUUUUUGUGUCUGUCUUCUUUUACUCAACAAAUGCUGUGAGAUUCAUUCAUGCUGUCAUUAUGUCAGUAGUUUGUUCAUUUUUAUUACUGUGUAGUAUUCUAUGAUAUGUACAAACUAUAAUUUAUUCAUUCACCUAUCGAUAAACAAGGGGAUUGUUUCUAGUUUUUAGCAAUAAUGAAUAAAGCUAUGAAUGUUCUUGUAUAUGUCAUUUGGUGGACAUAAGCAUUUAUUUCUCUUGGGAAAAUGGUAGUAGUGGAAUUGUAGGUCAUAAAGUAGGUAUAUAUUUAGCUUUAUUAGAAACUACCAAACUAUUUUACAAAAUAGUUGAAUACAUUUACCCUCCCACCUGCAAUGCAUUAGAUUUCUAGUUGCUCCACAUUCUUACCAGUGUUUGCUAUUGUCAGUCUUUUAUAUUUUCUAUCCUGGUAUAUGAAUAAAGUUAUCUCACUGUUUUAAUUUGCAUUUUUCUCAUGAGUAAUGACAUUGAACAUCUUUCAUACGCUGUGGCCAUGGAGCUGUACCACUCAUAUCUCCUUUCAAGGGAGCCUGCUGCAAAGAGCAUAGCUAAUUGACAACCUCCAGCAUCCAGAUCUUCAAAUAUUUAUGCUAAGGCCACAUUUCCCUUGGGCUGCUCCCUGCCAAGGACUAAGCAUGGCAGAGUUACUAGAGCUGGGCAAUGUCUGCCCCAUGGAGUACUUCUUCAAUAAGCAACCUUUGCUCAGAGACUCCUUAUCAGCUUGAGCCAGAUUAUCUCAGAACUGCUGUGCAAUCUGAAGACCUUCUUAUAUAAAUCCUCCUUCCUUCCCUGUUUCCUUUCACAGAAGUCAGACCUGCAGGACAGUCAAGGGCUCUUCCCCUCUUCUGCUCCAUCGCCUUUUUUCUUCACUGGCAUUGCCCCCAGUAGAUCCCUUUCAUGUCUAAUCUUGGCAUGUGCUUCUCAAAGCACCUGAACUAACAGUAUGCUUAUUGGCGAUUCUGAGAUCCAUGUUCAAGUCUUUUUUCUGUCUUUUUCAAACCAUAUUUAAAUCUUUUGGCCAUUUUUUUAAUUGAGUUAUGUGCUUCUCCUCUUUUAAAAUUGAUUUAUAAAAGUUUGGUAUAUAUUCUGGAUAUAAGCCUUUGUCAGAUAUGUUUUAUGAAUAUCAUUCUCCCAGUCUGUGAUAUAAUUACUAUUUUUGGAGACAGAGUCUCUCUCUGUCACCCAUACUGGAAUGCAGUGGCAUGAUGACAGCUCACUGCAGCCUCUACCUUCUGGGCUCAAGCAAUCCUCCCAUGUCAGCCUCCCAAGGAGCUGGACUGCUGGAACAUACUACCAAGCCUGGCUUUUAAAAUUUUUUAAUUUUUUUUUGGUAGAAAAGAUGUCUCACUAUGUUACCCAGGCUUGUCUUGAACUGCUGGGCUCAAGUGAUCCUCCCACCUUAGCCUCCCACAGUGCUGGGAUUACAAGCAUGAGCCACCACGUCCAGCCAUCACUUUCUUAAUAUUGUCUUUUAAUGAACAAAAAGUUUAAUUUUAAUGAUGUCCAAUUUUUCUAUUUUUUUUCUCUUAUCCUAUUACAUGAGAUAGAUGUCAAGGUUUGUUUUCCCCCCAUAUGAGUAUCCAAUUACUCUAGCACCAUAUAUUAGAAAGAGCAUCCUUUCCCCACUAUAGUAGCACCUAUAAUGGAAAUGUGUGUGUGUAUAUGUAUUUCUAAACUCUAUUCUGCUUCUUAGGUUUCCUUGUUUACUUGUGCACCUAUUCCACAUGGUCUUACUUAUUAUAGUUUGUAGAAUGUUCUGGACUCUGAGAAUAUAAUUCCUCCAAGUUUUGAUUCUUAAAUAUUGUUUUGUCGAUUCUAGAUAAUUUGUAUUUCCAUUUAACACUAAAUGAGCUUGUCAGUUUCUAAAAAACACUUGAGAUUUGCAUUAUGAUUCCAUUAAACCACAGUUUCUCAACCUGGCACUAUUGAAAUUUGGGGCCAGACAAUUCUUUGUUGUUAGGGAGAGCCGCUGUGCUGUUUAUUGUAGGAUGUUCAGUACUAGACCUGGUCUUCACUCACUGGAUGCCAGUAGCACUUCUCAAGUUGUAAAGACAUGCCAAAAUGUCUCCACAAAUUGCCAGAUGUCCUCUGGGAGCAAAAUUGCCACUCCCUCCCCAUGGAUAACAACUGCAUCAAAUCUAUAGAUCAACUUGGAGAAAACUGACAACUUAAUGAUAUUGAACCUUCCAAUCCAUGAAAAUGGAAUCUCUAUUUAGUUAGGUCUUCUUUAUCUCAGCAAAGUAUUGUAAUUUUCAAUGUAGAGUUUUUGCACAUCUUUUGUUAAAUUUAUUCCAAUGCAUUUAAUAUUUUCUAUUAAAUGUAAUUUUCAAAUUAAUUUUUCAAUUUUUGAUUUUUAAUAUACAAAAAUUAGUGCAUUUUUGCUCAUUUUUGAUCAACAUGUUCAUCAUGUAUUCAGCAACCCUGUUUGGAGACACUUUUGGAUUUUCUACAAAUAUAAUCAAGUCACCUGCAAAUAAAGAGUUUAACUUCUGUUCUAAUCCUUUUACCUUAUAUUUAUUUGUCUUGUUUUUUUGCAUUGGCUACGACCUCCAGUAUAAUAUUCAACAGAGAGUGAUAGUUGAUGUUAUCAUCUUAUUCCUAACUAUGGGGGAAAUAAUUUAAUAUUCCACCAUUAAUUAUUAUAUACUUUAUCAAUUUUAGAAAAUUCCCCUCUGUUACUAGUUUACUGAGAAAUAUUAUUAAGAAUAAGUGUUAAGGCUGGGUGUGGUGGCUCACACGUAUAAUCCCAACACUUUGGGAGGCCAAGACAGGUGGAUCACUUGAGGCUAGGAGUUUGAGACCAGCCUGGCCAACAUGGCAAAAUCCCAUCUCUACUAAAAAUAUGAAUGUUAGUCAGGCGUGGUGACACACACCUGUAAUCCCAGCUACUCGAGUGGCUAAGGCACAAGAAUCCUCCCUUGAACCCAGGAGGCAAAGGUUGCAGUGAGCCGAGAUCAUGCUACUGCACUCCAGCCUGGGUGACGGGUGACAGAGCAAGAGUCUGUCUCAAAAAAAAAAAAAAAAAAAAAAGAAGUGUUGAAUGUUAUUAAAUUCUUUUUUCUUGAUCUGUUGAGAUGAUCAAGUGUUAAUGUAGUGAUUUACAUAGAUUAAAUUUUAAAUGUUAAACCAACCUUGCAUUCCCUGUAAGAAAUCAUGCUCAGUAGUAAAUUGUUAUUAAAUCAUGAUUGGUUGUGAUUUAAUGUAUUACUGCAGACUAUUGUGGAUGGGCAAAGAUUUCUUGAACAAUACAUAAAACCACUACAGUGGGGAAAGAAUGCUCUUUUUAAAAAUAUGGUACUGGAGCAAUGGGAUAAUCAUAUGGAGCAAAUUAAACCGUGAUCUUUAUCUCACUUUUAUAAUGUGGUAAAAUAUAUAACAUAAAAUUUACCAUUUUAACCAUUUUUAUAUGCUCAUCUCAGUGGUAUUAAGUUCAAUCACAUUGCUGUGCAGCCGUCACCACAAUCCAGCUCCAGAAGUUUUUUCAUCUUCCCAAAUUAAAACUCUGUAAAUCAUUAAACAAUCAUUCCCUAUCACCCCUCCCUCAGGCCCAGCAACAACUAUUCUAGUUUCUGUCUCUAUAAAUUGGACUGGUUUAGGUACCUCAUAUGAGUAGAAUCAUAUAGCAUUUGCCAUUUUGUGACUGGCUCAUUCACUUAGCAUAAUAUCUUCAAGGUUCAUCCAUGUCAAUAGCAUGUGUCAGAAUUUAUUAUCUUAUUAAAGAUGACUAAUAUUGUAUUAUUUUUCAUGUACCAUAUUUUCUUUAUCCAUCCAUUUAUCCAUUGAUGCACACUGGCUUUCUUCCACCCACCUUUGGCUUUAGUGAAUAAUGCUGCUAUGAACAGGGGUAUACAAAUAUCUCUUCUUGCCCCUACUUUGAAUUAUUCUGGGUAUAUACCCAGAAGUAAAAUUUCUGGCUCAUAUGGUAAUUCUAUUUUUAAUUUUUGAGGAAGUGCCAUUCUGUUUUCCAUAGCAGCUGCUCUGCCAGUGCUAUGGAAAACAGAAUGAUUCCCAUCAGCAGUGCACGAGAAUUCUACCUCACAUUUUAUACAAAAAUUACUUUAUAUAAAAAUCAAUUUGACAUGUAUUUUAGACCUAUUUUUAAAUGGUAAGACAAUGAAGCUUUUAGAAGAAACCAUAGGCCAAUAACUCACAAUUUUAAGAUAUAGGCAUAACCUUCAGAUGCUAUUUUGGUGGCAGAGUUUUAGCAUUUAUUGAUGGCUUUAGGAUGUGAUGCAGGGAUUACAAGGAACAGAAUUCCACCCCUAAAAGUGUUUUGAUUACCUUGCACAAUAUCUUAUAUCUUAUGUUGAACUUAAGUGCCUUUCAAUAGAUAUGCAUGCUCCAAUUGCUCUAAUCUUCAUCCCUCCCUAAGGAUUUCCUCCAGACCGAUACUUUCUCUUCAUUUACGUACCUUAGAUGCUGAAACAUCUAAGUUUAUGAUCCCUGGUCUAUAGUAUUAUUGUACCCAAAUAACUAUUACUGAUAGAAGUUUUGAUUAGAAACUCACUGCAUAUAUACAUAUGCGUGUCAUCAAAGAACAUUUAUUGCUAUUGUCAUCGUAUGUAUUUGUUUUAUUGGCCUGAGCCUCUCAAUAAUGACUGUUAUCAUGAGGAAAAUGUUGAAAACCCCUCACACUGAAGAAGUACCUAUGUAAAUAAUAAAAGGCAAAAGGUAGCAGGCUUUAAACUUGCACCAGUGGCAUACAGUAGCUUCCAUAUUACUUUGUCUUUCCAAUGUAUUUGUGUGCCACGUGUGCACAUCAGGCCACCAAGAAACACCUCCCAGCAGAGUGUGGUUUUGGGAGAGAGGAACCAAGAUAAGAUUAUGGGAGCUCAAAAUCUUAUAAUUACCAAAGGGCAUGAGAUGGGGUAGGGAGCUUUCUGAGAUCUUGGUUUGCAUCACAACUCUCUAUAUGAACAUGAUCCAGCCCAGAAGAUGCAAACGAAAGAACAAACAGUAUUGAUUUUCCCUGGUAUGUUAUGUGGACACCCUUAGCAAUAAACACAUAUUGAAGUCAAUUGAGUGGGAUGAACAGGAUCACAAAAAAGGAGAAAUUUUCCAAAUGAAAGACACAAAAUCAGGGGCAUGUUUGGUAGACACCUGGGGAGUAAUUACCUGGCAAGUAAUUUGGUGUGGCUGGAGCACAAGGUACCCAGAAAGGGACUAGGGUGAGAUAAGUCCACCAAGAAUCCUAUUGUUGAAAAGCCAGUUUAAAAUGGAAGCACACACCCUCUCGGUUCCCUUGACAAUGUGACCUUAUAGGAGUAAUAAAUUUGGAUUUUCCUAUGCUGGUUAUUUAUACCAUAGAAACUUCUUAAUCACUGUCCUCAUCCAAUAUAGUCUCUCGUCUCGGUAAAUGGCUUAAUGUGAUAAUUAUGCUUCAACUCAAAACAUCUCUAUUUGGCAGUCAGAGCUGGUUCAGAAGGAGCCUUGGAUUAAGAGACAAUAUGGUAGAAACUCCAAAUUUCUAACAAGUAAAUUAAAUGUAAAGGUGAAUAAAUUUUUUAAAAAAUGGAAAGCCAGUUAAUAUAAUGAAUGGAUGGAACUGUCUCUUAUCUCUAAACUUAUCAGUAGAAAACUAGGUUAACGAGCAUUUAUUAGACACAAGAAGAGUCUCAUCAUGUGUCAUUGUGUUUAAUAUACAGGAGCUACCUCUAUGAGCUUGAUACUUGAAACUUUCUGAUAAUUUUUUUCUAUACUCAAAAUGCUCACAAAAUUGGUGUGAUAGCCAUUACACAAAUUAAGAGAGUGAAGAUGGUUUUCCAGCUGGCUUCCCUGCCUCACCUUUGUACCACUGCCAUCCUCACUCCAACCCCACCUAUCAUCUAUGCUGUUGCUUUUCAAUUCUCCUUCCCUACUACAUUACAUUCACUGGCUCACUAUUGUCCACCACAUGAAGUCCAAGAUAUUAUCCAUGUUCAAGAUCUGUUCUUCUGUCCUUCCCCAACCCCAGAAUUUUGCUCUAACUACUUUUCCAGAUUUAUCUCCCAUUGCUCCCCUUCAUAGAUCUGACACUUAACCCAAAGCUAUUGUAAGCACUGCACUUUUCAUGGGGCUUCCUCUGUCCAGACCUCUGCUUAACCCUUUUCCUGUCAAAAUAUUUUCUUAUUUUUAAAGCCCAGUUCAACUUACAUCUUCUUUAUGAAGUUGUCUCUGAUUUCUAAAUGCCUGUAGCACUUUAUUAGGAGUAAAAAUUAAUAGCCAGUUUGACAGAAUUCCCACCUGAGCCUACAGGGAAUGCAGACUUCUCAGGCUCUGUCUGCCAAGUGGUAGAGCUCCCCAACAGCACAAUUGCAUAACCUUCCUGCUGGAGGAAAAGAGGACCUGUGAUGAGGAGGUUAGUGCAGAGGCUGCUGGGAACAGGCAAUGGGAAAUGGAGAGAAUAGCAUGAAGUCUUUCCCAGCCUGGCCGCAGACUUGCUGGUGUCUGGACUCUGGAGAAAGGAGAUACUGGGCAAAUGCUAAUGGAACAGUUUUCACAAGAGAAUCUUUAGAGACACGGGUGCAAACAAUCUUGAAUUUGUAUCCUUACAGAAGAGUGUAAUGUAAAGACAGAGAAAGAGUCCCUUUUCACUGCUUAUCACUGAACACGACUCAGCUUGGCAUCUCAUGUGCUCUGGCAUGCCAGCUGCGGUGGGAGCCCGCAGAGCCCAACGGAGCUGCAGGGAACCACAUGGGAAUGGACUUGCUUGUGAGCUCAUGUGAAUUCACAGAAUCCGGGCCAGAUGUGGUGGUGUGUACUUGUAGACCCAGCUACUUGGGAGGCUCUUGCAGGAGGAUUACUUGAGCUCAGGAGCUCAAUGCCAGCUUGAGCAAUCUAGUGAGACCUCAUCUCUUUAAAAAAAAAUUUCCAGUUUUGGGAAAUCCCCCAGAAAUAGCUAAAGGACACUGUAGAUGGCCAAGACCCUGUGUAAAUAUUCUGGGAGGGAAAGCCUGUAGAAUUUGGAUUAUUACUAUUGAUUACAUUUUAUUUAUGUACACGGACAGGUUAAGUCCUAGAAAAACUUGGGUUAAUGCUGACAUUCAUUUAUGACUUGAUGUGGUUUUAAAACUUAUCUCCAUUGAUGUAUCUGAUUUGAUCACCAUAACAACCACUCAAAGUGGCUAUUAUUAUAUCCAGAUUUUCCCCCAUAGCAAUGGAUUUGAGCAUAUUUUUUGUGUUUAUUGUGGAAAGAGUGUUUAUUGUGGAAAGAGUCCAGGACUUGUCAGCAGACCUAAGUUUGAGCUUUUACUCUUCUGCAUAUGGCUGGGUGAUCCUGGAUAAAUCCCAACCUCUCUGAGCUAUAAUUCCUUACCUGUAGGACAGGAAUAACAAUUCCUUUUGUAUAGAGAUGCUGUAAAAUUCUGAGAUAAUGAAAAAAAUCCUGUACGAUUGUAAGAAAUUAUUAUGGCACAUGACUUUAUACCAUUGCAUUCAUCUUCUGCCAUAAAUCGGUUUUUUCUAUACAUCUCAAUACAAUAAAAAUAAUUAACAGCAACCAUGCCUUAAUCAUCCCUGUGUCAUCUUAUCUUGCACAGAGUAGGUACUCAGUAUGAUGGCGUGAAACGUUGCAGGGUGAUAAACUUCCCAUCUAUAGUGUGAGGCCGGUACAGCGGAGUCAAACUUCAGAAUGGCUGGGACUAGAUGCCAAUCCUGAAAACCUAAGAUUAUUUAUUAGAUUAAUCAGAUAUAGAAGAGAUUCAGAUAUAAGAGGUCAAAUCAGUUUCCCAGGGACAUAAUACAUGGCUAAGAGAGACAGAACAUUAAAGGACAGCAGGGCUGGCAAAUGUUUUCUGUAAAGGGCCAGAAUAAUAAACAUUUUAGGCAAUGUAGGUCCUAUGGUCUCUGUGGCAACUACACAACUUUGCCAUUUUUAUCGUGAAAGCAGCCACAGACAGUAUGUAAGCGAAUGGGAGUGACCAUAUUCCAGUAUAUUGUAUUUUAAAAAACAAACAGAUGGUGGGCUGCAUUUGGCCCAUAGGCCCUGGUUGGUCAACUCCUGAGACAGAGGCUUGUCCUUUUGCCAAGGAAGAUUUAUAACACAAAAAGCCAAAAGUAAAACCAGGUGGUGG
rnacentral:lncRNA from 1 species